CCUCAAAUCAGGUAGGACUACCCGCUGAACUUAAGCAUAUCAAUAAGCGGAGGAAAAGAAACUAACAAGGAUUCCCCUAGUAACGGCGAGUGAAGCGGGAUGAGCUCAAAUUUAAAAUCUGGCGGCCUCAGGUCGUCCGAGUUGUAGUCUAGAGAAUCGUUUUCCGCGUUGGCCUGUGUACAAGUCCCUUGGAACAGGGCGUCAUAGAGGGUGAGAAUCCCGUCCUUGACACAGACUACCAAUGCUUUGUGAUGCGAUCUCGAAGAGUCGAGUUGUUUGGGAAUGCAGCUCAAAAUGGGUGGUAAAUUCCAUCUAAAGCUAAAUAUUGGCGAGAGACCGAUAGCGAACAAGUACCGUGAGGGAAAGAUGAAAAGCACUUUGGAAAGAGAGUUAAACAGUACGUGAAAUUGUUAAAAGGGAAACGAUUGAAGUCAGUCAUGCUUUCCGAGACUCAGCCGAUUCUGUCGGUGUACUUCUCGGUUGGCAGGCCAGCAUCAGUUUCGAUCUGUGGAAAAGGUUGGAGGGAACGUGGCAUCCUCGGAUGUGUUAUAGCCCUUCUUCGAAUACAUAGAGCGGGACUGAGGAACGCAGCGCGCCUUUUAUUAGGUUGGCCCUCGGGUACAUACGCGCUUAGGAUGC
rnacentral:rRNA from 1 species